rnacentral:antisense_RNA from 1 species
CUUCAACGAGCCCAGCAGCAACGGCUGUUCAGCAGCGCGCCCCUGGCCGUAGGUGUCCAUCAGGGCCUGCGCCUC